CCCCAAGGAGGAUCUUAGAGAAGUUUGUGAAGAGACCAGUGACCGCCGCGUGCAGCAGCACGUUGACCAGAUGGUAGCUCCAGGGAUUCAGCCCUCCGAUGGCAUGGUUCAGGCGGAAAGAAAGAGUGCAGAGGGGCCGAAAAGCAAAGGACACUGCUUUGCAGACUCAUGAAUGUUCUGGAAACCUAGUGCAAGGAGCAUCGUGUCCCUGUUGGCUGCUGCUAUUACUAUUCUACAAAGACUGUUCUAAUCUACAGAAAGGCCCUUAUUAAAUUCAGCUUGACCCACAACUUCUGAAAUCAGGUGCACCUGGGGAACAGAAUGAGCCCGCUACCAUUAAUGGUAUUAGCGAGUGGCAGCUGAAUCUACUCAUCAGUGAAAUCCUUUGUUAACAGAAGACCUACUAUAUCAUGGGUUUGAUUUUCUACUUUGAUUUUUACAAGGCUCUGUGUACUGACUGUGUAUAAAUGAAUUUCCAUAUAAAUUGGCUUUUAAAAUAUUAGAAACAGAUGUUAUUCUGGAUCCAUUAAAUUAAAACACCUUG